CGAUUCCAGUAAAACUGAUCACGAUGUCGAACAACAAGCAGUACUUGCUGAAAGAAGGCUUCACGUACUACAAGAAGAGAAACUCCAAGACCGGCUACACCUGGUGGUGUACUGCCAGGUGUAACUCUUACCUGAACACCAACUUCGACCUGGAGGUGCUGACCGUCGUCGGAACACACAACCAUCGCCCCUCAGUGUUCCAUGAGCUGAAAAACGGCACCUACGUCAAGUACAACAGAUAACACUCACCUGUGGAAAGACGGUAUAUUUCUACGAUGGAUACACAUUUUUCCAUCGAUAUCAUACCAAAUUGGGGCUCAAGUGUUGCUGCACCCGGUUUCCGAAAUGCAAGUCUCACGUAAUCAUUGAUGAUGGACUGAACAUUCAUUACAGUCACAUUGACCACAACCACCAAGCUUCACAACUUUAUAGAACUGCUGAUGGAACUUAUACGAAAAUAAUUAACAAACCUGUACAAAGGACUAUAAAAAAAAACUAUGCCAAUUUUGGCUGAAAGUUUAUAUACUUACUGUAAAAUCGUGUUUAGUAAAUUUCUUAUUCUGAUAAAUACCAGACUGAUUGCGUUAACAUUUGAAUUUUAAAUACUUUUUUAUUGGUAAACAGUGGUGUUGUCGCUAUGCGAUAUCUGUACCUAUUUUACACACACAAUAAGUAUCAGACCGUUUUUAUUGUGUAUAUGGGACUAUAUACGUUUUGUAAAUAAUAAUAAAAAUAUCUUUUGCUCUAAA